GGAGAGGAUCGGCGAAUGGUUAAGGUGGAGGAGAGGGCGCGAGCGCCUGUGCGCGGCGCGGUACGUGAAAUUGUCUGUAUACACACGCACGCACACAUGAGGCACACGCACGCAAACAUACGCUACGUCACACGGGGCAUACACGC
ensembl:ncRNA R153.5 ncRNA